CUAAUAAAAACUUUGGCGCACUUGGUAACACACGCUGGUCGCUUGUAUGCCGACGAGGUUGUGUUUCACGGAACUGAAAAUGAAAUUUACACUAGAAAUAGCUGAAGUAUGUACAAGUUAAGAGUGCUCUAGUCCUGCGGGAAAGCAAAUCAGACAAAUUUUUCUCACCAUGGCUGGAAACAGAGAUGACCCAUUUGAGCACUUGCUUAAUAUGUACCGAAAUAUUUCGGAGAUGUGUGUUCUGCACUGCGUUUCGAAGCGAAGGCCAGGGACACCCAGACGUGGAGAGGUGCUGUGUGUUGAAUACUGUAUAGCAGAUGAAAUGCAGCAUUUGAGGAAGUCUACAAUAAACAGAUUACCAGACUACAAGAAAGUGUAAUUAUCUGAAUUGCUUACAUGUGGAUAUGUAAUUCUUAAUAAAGAGUGAUGUUGAAAAUAUAAAUAUAAUAAUAAUAAUAAAAAAAUAUAUGUAUUAAUAAAUAUUAAUUAAGAUGUGAACAAUGUUCCAGAGUUUACUGCAUCAUAUGAGCCAAAACUGUCAUGUCAUUGUUUUCUGGCAGUUGUCAGUUAGUGGAAUUAGAGUAAAAAUCUCUUUAAAUUGAGGGUAAAUGUGAAAAGAUACAGUUAAGGUUUGCACAUAUUUCAAAACUACAGAAAUAUCAAGCCUCUUAGAAAAUAUAGAAAUUACUGUUAAGGUAUUCAUCCAUUCAUCAAAGGAGAUCAGCACAAAUUUCUGAAUGAAAUAAGAAUAACUAAAAACUAUAACUUUUAUAGCUUAUUAUUAUUAUCAUCAUCAUUAUUCCUGUUACUUCUAAUGUUUGUAUCUCUGAACAGUAAUUACCUAGAUUUAGUCAUAGGUUUCUGGUAAAAUUUUUGCCAA